GUUCCGUGUGUGUUGUGUGUAUUGUGUUGAUGAUGAAUGAACUGAAUAUUUGUCUUCACUAAAAUCACUUGUUGUAGAAGAGCCCACUGGUGAAAAAAAAAGUUUUCCAAACUUUUAUACCCCUCAACUUUAGCGCUUCUUUGGCAAAUUAUCUUGAUGACUGAGAUUGUCUGCUGAGCGGUUUUCAGGACUCCAUUAUCGUCUUUAAAAUUAAAUGACAAGUGUUACUGAAAAAAUGGCCUGGAAUGGGAAGCCUGCGAAAACGAAUACUCAGGACUACAUGAACCUGUUGUACUCUGACUCGGACAGCGAUAGAGUUCCUGAUCUAAAGCUACCUCCGGUCAAAGGAAAGAAGCAGAAGCG